ACUGAACACCUGUGUGUGAUAGUACCACGUGUGACAAACAUGUACCGAAAGAGACCCUACUUCAUGGCUCCCACCUA
rnacentral:ribozyme from 1 species